CGCACCUGGGGCUCAGCCCGAGGUCCCAGCGCGCGGAGCCCUGGCGCGGGUUCUGAAGGCGGCGGACUGCUGGCCGCUGUGUCCGAGCCCAGCUCGCGGGCCCUGAGCGGAGCCGGGGGGAAGGGGACGCGCUGGCGAGCGGGCGGCGGGGUUCGAUUCUCGCCCCCACCUCGCAACUCGUCGCCUGGGCAGACGGGGGCCUGGGUCUGGCCCAGGGUCUCCCUGUGCUUAGCUGCUCUGACACCACCCAGCCAUGAGAAUUGCUGACCUUCAACCAUAAAACCAGGAUGACAAAGAACUAGGAUGACCCACACUGGACCAACACUUGACCAGUUUCAAGAUCCAUAUCGGAAUGGACUGUGCUGGACUGCAGGUGAUAUCUGAGCUGAGCUGCAAGGAAUGAGAAGAAACCUGUCAUGUGAAGAUCUGGGAAGAGAGUGUGCCAAGCAGAGGAACAGCAAGUACAGAUUGUGAGGUAAGGUCAUGC